rnacentral:misc_RNA from 1 species
GAUGAAGAACGUAGCGAAAUGCGAUAAGUAAUGUGAAUUGCAGAAUUCAGUGAAUCAUCGAAUCUUUGAAUGCACCUUGCGCCCUUUGGCUAUUCCGAAGGGCAUGCCUGUUUGAGUAUCAUGAACACCUCAACUCUCAUGGUUUGCCAUGAUGAGCUUGGACUUUGGGGGUCUUGCCGGCCUAUGGGUCGGCUCCUCUCAAAUUAAUCAGCUUGCCAGUGUUUGGUGGCAUCACAGGUGUGAUAACUAUCUACGCUUGUGGUUUUCCAUCAGGUAACCUUCAGUGAUGGAGGUUCGCUGGGGCUCAUAAAUGUCUCUCCUCAGUGAGGACAGCUUUUUUGAACGUUUGAUCUCAAAUCAGGUAGGACUACCCGCUGAACUUAAGCAUAUCAAUAAGCGGAGGA